CCUACGGGAGGCAGCAGUGGGGAAUAUUGCACAAUGGGCGAAAGCCUGAUGCAGCGACGCCGCGUGAGGGAUGACGGCCUUCGGGUUGUAAACCUCUUUCAGCAGGGAAGAAGCGAAAGUGACGGUACCUGCAGAAGAAGCGCCGGCUAACUACGUGCCAGCAGCCGCGGUAAUACGUAGGGCGCAAGCGUUGUCCGGAAUUAUUGGGCGUAAAGAGCUCGUAGGCGGCUUGUCACGUCGGUUGUGAAAGCCCGGGGCUUAACCCCGGGUCUGCAGUCGAUACGGGCAGGCUAGAGUGUGGUAGGGGAGAUCGGAAUUCCUGGUGUAGCGGUGAAAUGCGCAGAUAUCAGGAGGAACACCGGUGGCGAAGGCGGAUCUCUGGGCCAUUACUGACGCUGAGGAGCGAAAGCGUGGGGAGCGAACAGGAUUAGAUACCCUGGUAGUCCACGCCGUAAACGGUGGGAACUAGGUGUUGGCGACAUUCCACGUCGUCGGUGCCGCAGCUACGCAUAACGUUACCCGUCCGUCGGGAGGUACGGCCGCGACGACGUAAACUACAAUAGAAGUAGACGGCGUGAGACGUGCCGACGGACGACGACGAGGGAGGUAGG
rnacentral:rRNA from 1 species